rnacentral:lncRNA from 1 species
CAAAGACUUAUGACGCGGUUAACAAUCUCUAUGCCUUCUACACCAUGUGGCCGGUCUUUAGGCAUUGUUUUAGGCUUUUACUCUGAAAAAAAUCUGAGAGAAACAGCAUAUUCAAUGAGUGGACAGUGGAAAUUUCCAGACAUGAAGCCAGCGCGUGACCGGGAGGGCACCUUUCUUGUUUCUCCUUUUCUAUUGACGAAGCUUUUGUCCGGUUGAAAUAUUAUCGAUUAUUUAUGACAAAAACAACCAGAGGAUUGAUUAUAAACAUCGUUUGACAUGUUUCUACGAACCUUUAUGGUACUUUUUUGAUUUUUCGUCUGUCUUUUGUGACAGCGCUUUGUUCCAAUGGAAUACUGAACAAAACACAACAACAAAAUGGAGGUUUUUGGACAUAAAGAGGGACGUUAUCGAACAAAAUGAACAUUUAUUGUGUAACAUGGAGUCUUCGGAGUGCAACCACAUGAAGAUCAUAAAAGGAAACUCAUUCAACAAUUUUAGAUGAAGUUGUGUGGAAAAUGGACUAUGAUGGUGAAAAAUACAUCUCCCAUGGACAAAGAAACUCAAAAGAGGUUGGCAGACACAUGGUGGUCUGUGGUGUCUGGUCCCAUGUCAGCUUCUUGGCACAGAUAGAGUAUCUUCUCUUCCAGAAUGCUACGAUUUGAUAACCAUGAGUCAAGAUCUACAAGACGUGUGAGAGAAACUGGCGGCCAUAAGAGAGGUCUGGGUGAAGUGGGUGGAGCAUCUGCCAUAUCUCUACAACCCUGGGCCUGAAGUAACAGUGGAUGAGGCCAUACCUCUACAACCCUGGGCCUGAAGUAACAGUGGAUGAGGCCAUACCUCUACAACCCUGGGCCUGAAGUAACAGUGGAUGAGGCCAUACCUCUACAACCCUGGGCCUGAAGUAACAGUGGAUGAGGCCAUACCUCUACAACCCUGGGCCUGAAGUAACAGUAGAUGAGCAACUGGUUCCAUUCAGAGGAACAUUUUUAUUUUCACAUCUGUAAUGUCACUGUCUUUUCCGGCAGUAUGUGCCCAGCAAGCCAGAAAAGUAUGGCAUCAAGGUAUGGGUGGCCUGUGACUCACAAUCCAGCUACGCUUCGAAGAUGCAAGUCUACACAGGGAAGCCGACCAGUGGAGACCCGGAGAAGAACCAGGGGAUGCGGGUUGUGCUUGAUGUGACAGAUGGACUGAGGGGGCACAAUGUCACGUGUGACAAUUUCUUCACCUCUUAUGAACUCAGUCAGCAGCUCCUGAAGAGGAAGAUCACCAUGGUUGGUACAGUUAGAAAGAACAAGCCUGAGCUCCCCCCUGCACUCCUCGCAACAAGGGGGAGAGAGGUACACUGUACAAAAUGGCUGAGAUGAGUGAUCGUGAGGACAGGAAGCCAGCCAUCAUCCUGGACUACAACCACAGCAAAGGAGACGUGGCAACCUGAACAAGGUGAUUGGAACUUACAGCUGCAGGAGGAUGACUGUCCACUGGCCUCUGGUCAUCUUCCAUAACAUCAUUGAUGUGUCCUCAUACAAUGCCUUUGUGAUGGAACAAGAUCAACCCUACCUGGAUGCCUGAUAAGCAGAACAAGAGGAGGGUGUUCCUGGAGCAGUUGGGAAAGGCACUUGUAACCCCACACAUUCAAAGAAGGGAGCAUCUCCCCCUGCACAGCAGCCUUUGCAGCGCUUGUGAAAGCUGUUCAGGUGGCUGAAUCUUGUCCUGAUCCACCUGAGGCUGCAGUUGGGGCAGGCAAGAGGAGGAGAUUCCAAUUCUGCCCCCCAAAGAAGGACUGUAAAACAAAUACCAUGUGCUGCACAUGUGAGAAAAACAUCUGCAAAGUCCAUGCACACACACUUGCAUACUGUCCUACAUGUGCUAUUAGAGUUGAUUGAUUUAUGUUCUUCACAUUUUUGUUUGUAUUGCUGUUAUUUAUACACCUUGUGGGUGGGGGCAGUGGUUCAUAAAAUGGGAGAAGACUAUAAUGUACAGUAUAUAAGAAUAUAUCACUAUGUUGCCAAAAAAGUUCAAGACAGUUAUUGUUUCCCUGAAAUAAUAUGCAUUCAAAACUACUUUCUGCACAUUUCUGCUACUUUCUUAGACUAUACAAGUGCUAUCUCUUACUAAAAAAAAUUAUGUUUAUACCUAUGCAGUACCUUUAGCAAUAAUAAUAAUAAUAAUAAUAAUAAUAAUAAUAAUAAAAAACCUCUACUUUAGUGAAGAGAACAGUUAUGCCAGGUGUGUUGUAAUAAAAACGAUGUGGUGUCCGCUGAUUUAAAUGCAGUCUUUCUGCAUUUUGAAGAGUGAAAACGCAGAUAUUCAAAGUUUGUGAUGAAUGUCAGGUUUUCUUCAUGUAAAAUAGAUUUGGGGUUUAAAAUUCAAUUAAGCUGCUUUAUUUUAGGGGUUUAGUGAAGGCAUGUCCUUUGUUACCCUUAGGACAAGGGGAGUAUACAGAAUGUUAAGACUACACAAGGGUUAAGACGUGAUCACAUAAGCAGAUUUAAGAUGUGAUGACAUAUCCAGACUUAAGAUGUGAUCACAUAACCAGACUUAAGAUGUGAUCACAUAGCCAGACUUAAAACGUGAUCACAUAACCAGACUUAAGAUGUGAUCUCAUAGCCAGACUUAAAACGUGAUCACAUAACCAGACUUAAAACAUGAUCACAUAACCAGACUUAAAACGUGAUCACAUAACCAGACUUAAGACGUGAUCACAUAACCAGACUUAAGACGUGAUCACAUAACCAGACUUAAAACGUGAUCACAUAACCAGACUUAAAACGUGAUCACAUAACCAGACUUAAAACGUGAUCACAUAACCAGACUUCAGACGUGAUCACAUAACCAGACUUAAAACGUGAUCACAUAACCAGACUUAAAACGUGAUCACAUAACCAGACUUAAAACGUGAUCACAUAACCAGACUUAAAACGUGAUCACAUAACCAGACUUAAAACGUGAUCACAUAACCAGACUUCAGACGUGAUCACAUAACCAGACUUAAAACGUGAUCACAUAACCAGACUUAAAACGUGAUCACAUAACCAGACUUAAAACGUGAUCACAUAACCAGACUUAAAACGUGAUCACAUAACCAGACUUAAAACGUGAUCACAUAACCAGACUUCAGACGUGAUCACAUAACCAGACUUAAAACGUGAUCACAUAACCAGACUUAAAACGUGAUCACAUAACCAGACUUAAGAUGUGAUCUCAUAGCCAGACUUAAAACGUGAUCACAUAACCAGACUUCAGACGUGAUCACAUAACCAGACUUAAAACAUGAUCACAUAACCAGACUUAAAACGUGAGUCAACAUCUGUGAUUAAAGCUGAAGGCAUCUCAUCUCUACUCAUCCCCACUGGCCUUAACUAAUACACACACACACACACACACACACACACACAUUGCUGAAGGUAUCUCUUCUCUACUCAUAUAAAACGGCAAUCUGUGUUUAAGACACAAUUCUCAUCUCACAGCUAGCCAAAGAUGUGUGAGAUACUGACAUUACACUGUUAUUACACUGACGUUACACUACCAUUACGCUGACAUUACACUGACAUCAUACUAACAAUACAUUGACAUUACACUGACAUCAUACUAACAAUUCAUUGACAUAACACUGACAUCAUACUAACAAUACAUUGACAUUACACUGACAUCAUAUAAACAAUACAUUGACAUUACACUGACAUCAUACUAACAAUACAUUGACAUUACACUGACAUCAUACUAACAAUACAUUGACAUUACACUGACAUCAUAUUAACAAUACAUUGACAUUACACUGACAUCAUACUAACAAUACAUUGUCAUUACACUGACAUCAUACUAACAAUACAUUAUCAUUACACUGACAUCAUACUAACAAUACAUUGACAUUACACUGACAUCAUACUAACAAUACAUUAUCAUUACACUGACAUCAUACUAACAAUACAUUGACAUUACACUGACAUCAUACUAACAAUACAUUGACAUUACACUGACAUCAUACUGACAUUACAUUAUCAUUACACUGACAUAAUAUUGACAUUACACUGUCAUUACACUGACAUCAUACUAACAAUACAUUAUCAUUACACUGACAUCAUACUAACAAUACAUUGACAUUACACUGACAUCAUACUGACAUUACAUUAUCAUUACACUGACAUAAUAUUGACAUUACACUGUUAUUACACUGACAUAAUAUUGACAUUACACUGUUAUUACACUGACAUAAUAUUGACAUUACACUGUUAUUACACUGACAUAAUAUUGACAUUACACUGUUAUUACACUGACGUUACACUACCAUUACGCUGACAUUACACUGCUGUGGCCGUAGGAAAUAUAGUUGGUGACAUAAGAUCUAAAGCUAAGUGGACAAGGUGCUUAGGAGGCUGAACACACGCUCGCGCGCACACACACACACACACACACACACACCAGUGGAAACACCUAGGGCCAUGUUGACAGCACCUAAAAUGGGGAGAGGUCGCCACAAAACUUGGUAUUACCCUUUUUUAUCUCAGUCAAUGCAAUCCACCUUCCUCUUCCAUCCCUCCUCCUCUUCCUCCUCCUUCCUCUUCCAUCCCUUUCUCCUCCUCCUCCUCCCUUUUCAAUCCCUCUUCCUCCUCCUCCUCCUCCUCUCUUCCAUCCCUCUCUCCUCAUCCUCCUCCUCCACCUAAAAUGGGGAGAGGUCGCCACAAAACUUUGUAUUACCCUUUUUUAUCUCAGUCAAUGCAAUCCACCUCCCUCUUCCAUCCCUCUCUCCUCUCUCCUCCUCCUCCCUCUUCCAUCCCUCUCUCCUCCUCUUCCCUCUUCCAUCCCUCUCCUCCUCCUCCCUCCUCCAUCCCUCUCUCCUCUCUCCUCCUCCUCCCUCUUCCAUCCCUCUCUCAUCCUCCCUCUUCCAUCCCUCCUUCCUCCUCCUCCCUCUUCCAUCCCUCCUUCCUCCUCCUCCCUCUUCCAUCCCUCUCUCCUCCUUCUUCUCCUCCUCCUCCUCCUCCUCCUUCCUCUUCAAUCCCUCUCUUCUUCUCCUCCUCCUCCUCCUCCUCCUCCUCCUCCUCCCUCUCUUCCCCCCUUCGCUUCUCGUCAAAAUGACCAGUUCUGAUCCUCUGUCCACUGGGUGAGUUGUAACGGUAUUAAGAUGAUAAACCCAUGUUCUUCCAGCUGUUUCAUGUCUCUGUAUUACUUAUCAAUCUGUGUGUGAGGAAUGCGUGUGUGCGUGUGUGUGUGUGUGUUUGUGCGUGUGUGUUCUUCUGUUUUAUCCUAAUCUCUUUACAGAGCCAUAUUCAUACCAACAGAUUAUAAGGCCUCCCAGCCAGCCUACUGCAAUUAUGAAAACAGAAUGAGGCCUAGAUUCAAUCCAUAGCGCUGAAGCUCCGUGCUGUACCGAGGUUGAAAUGUAAAGGGUAAUUUAUGAUGAAGCCGACAUAUGCAGCGUGAAUUCAGCUUCCGCAAACACGAACAUUGCCUUUAAAUUUAAAUCCGCACAGUAGAGUGGAUCUUCAGAUUGAAUCAAGCAAUUAAACAGUUACAGAUCCCUCAUCAACCACGAAAGAGAAACAUUAACAGACAUCAUAGAAGAAACAAGGUUAUAUUUGUGUUUUAGUUUGCAAAUGAUUCAUUCUGGAAAAUGGGACCUCUAUGUCAAAUUCAAAUUGCUUUAUUGGAGUGAGAAACAUUCAUAAAUAUUACCAAAGCAUUAAUGCAUGCAAUAAACUGUACAAUGUAAUAAAAUGUUAAAUAAAAUAGAG